rnacentral:misc_RNA from 1 species
GAUGAAGAACGCAGCGAAAUGCGAAAAGUAAUGUGAAUUGCAGAAUUCAGUGAAUCAUCGAAUCUUUGAACGCACAUUGCGCCCCCUGGUAUUCCGGGGGGCAUGCCUGUCCGAGCGUCAUUACAACCCUCAAGCUCAGCUUGGUAUUGGGCCCCGCCGACCCGGCGGGCCCUAAAGUCAGUGGCGGUGCCGUCCGGCUCCGAGCGUAGUAAUUCUUCUCGCUCUGGAGGUCCGGUCGUGUGCUCGCCAGCAACCCCCAAUUUUUUUCAGGUUGACCUCGGAUCAGGUAGGGAUACCCGCUGAACUUAAGCAUAUCAAUAAGCGGAGGA